CCCCCAGACACAGCACCCACAGACACACACUGCACCCACAGACACACACUGCACCCAGACACACACUGCACCCAGACACACACAGCGCACCCAGACACACACAGCGCACCCAGACACACACAGCGCACCCAGACACACACAGCGCACCCAGACUCACACAGCGCACCCAGACACACACAGCACCCCCCAGACACACACAGCACCCAGACACACACAGCACACUCCCACACAUAUACAGCAC